CGACUCCAUGAAGCUGGAUUCGCUAGUAAUCGCGCAUCAGCCACGGCGCGGUGAAUACGUUCCCGGGCCUUGUACACACCGCCCGUCAAGCCAUGGAAGCCGGGAGUGCCUGAAGUGCGUGAGCGCAAGCAGCGCCCUAAGGUAAAACCGGUGACUGGGGCUAAGUCGUAACAAGGUACC
rnacentral:rRNA from 1 species